AGUGAACGCUGGCGGUAGGCCUAACACAUGCAAGUCGAACGGCAGCACAGUAAGAGCUUGCUCUUACGGGUGGCGAGUGGCGGACGGGUGAGGAAUACAUCGGAAUCUACUUUUUCGUGGGGGAUAACGUAGGGAAACUUACGCUAAUACCGCAUACGACCUACGGGUGAAAGCAGGGGAUCUUCGGACCUUGCGCGAUUGAAUGAGCCGAUGUCGGAUUAGCUAGUUGGCGGGGUAAAGGCCCACCAAGGCGACGAUCCGUAGCUGGUCUGAGAGGAUGAUCAGCUACACGGGAACUGAGAAACGGUACAGACUCCUACGGGAGGCAGCAGUGGGGAAUAUUGGACAAUGGGCGAAAGCCUGAUCCAGCCAUACCGCGUGGGUGAAGAAGGACUUAGGGUUGUAAAGCCCUUUUGUUGGGAAAGAAAAGCAGCAGGUUAAUACCCCGCUGUUCUGACGGUACCCAAAGAAUAAGCACCGGCUAACUUCGUG
rnacentral:rRNA from 1 species